GAUGAAGAACGUAGCGAAAUGCGAUACGUAAUGUGAAUUGCAGAAUUCAGUGAAUCAUCGAGUCUUUGAACGCACAUUGCGCCCCCUGGUAUUCCGGGGGGCAUGCCUGUCCGAGCGUCAUUGCUGCCCUCAAGCACGGCUUGUGUGUUGGGCCUCCGUCCUCCUCCCGGGGGACGGGCCCGAAAGGCAGCGGCGGCACCGCGUCCGGUCCUCGAGCGUAUGGGGCUUCGUCACCCGCUCUUGUAGGCCCGGCCGGCGCUUGCCGAUCAACCAAAUUUUUAUCCAGGUUGACCUCGGAUCAGGUAGGGAUACCCGCUGAACUUAAGCAUAUCAAUAAGCGGAGGA
rnacentral:misc_RNA from 1 species